rnacentral:lncRNA from 1 species
CAACCACUGAGGUAUCAAGAGAAAGAAAUGACAAAAAAAAAAAAAAGAAGAAGAAGAAGACAGUAUAAUUAUUCCCUGGAUAACAGCAAGUUGAAUACUGCAAAAAAAGAACCAAUGAACUUGAAAACAAGUCAAUAGAAAAAAAAAAAGGCUGAAGAAAAUUUUGAGGAAUGAUUAUUUUCAGCAUGAAAUUAUAUACCUAAAAGUAUUGUA